rfam:Gracilibacillus kekensis strain CGMCC 1.10681 genome assembly, contig: Ga0079828_102
AGUACAUUUAAUUCAGUCCCGUGAGGCUGACAAGGACAACGGAUUUGCAAAAGGGAUACGUCUAUGGAUGAUUUGUACCCUUUUGUCUGAAACUUCUUGUCACAGUUGGGCAAGGAGUUUUUUUAUU